rnacentral:lncRNA from 10 species
UUGUGGGGCAGAGUGGGGUUUCGCCCUGGGGGAGCAUAUGUGGCAGAGGGCACAGGAAGAUCUGUAAGCAAGAGGGCAUAGCAAAUUAAAUGACCACACUGUCAGGAAGGUUGACAGGCCAAAGAAAGAUCAGCUCCUCCAAAUCUGCUGAACUAACUCUCCCCUCGUAGCCCCAGACACGUUUUCUCAAUUUGAGCACAAUAUCCAUUACUAUUUCCCGUACUGGGUUUCAAUUAAAGAGAGUGAGAGUAGAAAGUUCACUGGUGUUUGGGGGUUCAUUUAUUUCCAAGCAGGAUGCAAAUGAAAGGGAGCCGUGGGCACAGAGUUGUCAUGUGUGUUUUUCCUCCCUCUUCUUUCCAUUUCCUUCUUGCAACCUUCCCUCCACUUCUUGCCAGCCACCCAGCACACCCGUGUUCCCAAAGCAAAUGUUUUCAUGUCUUGAAAAUCCAGUUAGGGUGAGGAGAGAAGGAAGGUGAUAACAUCAUACCUACUGAUGCCCCCUAGAGAUGAAGCUGUCCUGGGGGCACUUAAGGCUUGAGGGAAGGAUUUACCUUCUCGAGAUGGGCACAGGAAUUGGGGUAGUGUGAGCACUUGAAGGGUUCCAGGUUUUACUGUUGCACUGAAAACAGAUGCAAUCCCUCCUGCUGUAACAUGCCCCUAUGGAAAAAAUCUAGCCUUCUGUGCAGUUAUCCUGUUUUGGUCCUAGAACACAGGGUGGUGAUCUUGCUUCUCUGGGGGGUGCCAGGCAAAUAGAAGACGUGAAAAUCUGCUGCCAAGGUCAGGAUGUAGGUCCUGGAUUCAGGAUCUUGACCCCAGGCCUGCCCUGUCACCGAGCAGUGGUCUCACAACCAGGCAAACUCUCUGGCCAAACUCACUUCACACAAACUUGAGCUGAGCACCAGCCCUCCAACCCCCUCCACCUUCUAUGAUCACUGACUUUGUACCAUGGCCACACAGACCACUGGGCAGAAGAGUAGCUGCAGGGUGUCGGUCUUAAUUUCAUGACACUCUGCGUAGCCUCCUCCUCCUUCCACGUCAGCAAAAGAAACUAGAGGCCUCAACAAUGUGACUGUAUUUUGAGUUGGGAUGUGUCCCUCCCAAAUCAAUCAUCCCGGCUCCAAAUAAUACAAACAAAUUCUACAUAUUUUAAAAUGUCCCAAGUCUUGUAUGAUAUCCAGGGACCGAUUAGUGCCGACUGGAGAGACUAUUCCCUCUCCCAUUCCGAAUAAAGGGUUAGGUGAAGGUUGUGGCCCGAGAGAUCCCAGAAGCCCUUAAAAGUCUUUAGCUUGGGGUUUGAAUAAUGAGGGCUAGAUAAGUUUGUUUUCUCUUCCUUUCAAAAAUUUUUUUAUUUUAGAGGAAGGGGAAUGAGGAAGGCGCACGCGCGCGCUCACACACACACACACACACACACACACACGCAGAAAGAGAGAAAAUGUUUGGAAUUGUGAAAGUGCCUUUCCUAGUAGUUGCUUUUACUGGCGCCCGGGCCUCAAUUCAUUUCAUCUCUGAACCAGAUACUAAAAAUCCUCCAGGCGAGUGGAGAGGACCGGCCUUCCUGGAUCGGGAACCUGCCCUCUGUCUUCCCUCGCAGCGCCCUUUCCUCCUUUCGCUUGGGAAAGGAAGAUUUCGAGCCCCAGGAAGGAGUUGGGAGUGAGCGACAGCCCAGAGCGUCCCAUAAGGUCCUUUUGGCCAUGUUUCUGCCCCGGGGGGCUUCACCUAGAUCCCCCACCCCACCCCUUACCCCUGUUGCAAAUACGUAAGCUGGACGCGCCUCGGUGCGGAUCCAGGCCUCGCUGAGCACGGAACCGGAGAAGCAGCUCACGGCCUCGGAUUCUACUCUCACCCAAGGGUGGAAGGGGGUGACAGGGCUCGGAUCUUGCCCCAAACGCUGCACAGGCCCGCAGGAGAGCAAAGAGGUCUCGGACAGGCUGUCCUUCCCCAGCUCUCGGUCGCGACAAGGUCCCGACAGGCCCGGGAACCGGCGAACCGCCUGCAGCUGCUAUCGACAACACUUACAGCCUCCAGAAAUGACCCUUGGUGCCGACUUGUCUGGAAGCCAUCAGGGUUAGUUUUGAAGCAGGAAUCUUCAAGUGGACCAGAGGACAGGGUCUCUCUUUGUUGCCUAGGCUGGAGUGCAGUGGAACGAACUUGGCUUAUUGAAGCAUUGACCACCUGGACCCAAGUGAUUCUCCUACCUUAGCCUCUUGAAUAGCUGUGACAACAGGUGUGCACUACCACACCCAGAUAAAUUUUGUAAUUUUUAUAGAGAGGGCAUUUGACCAUGUUGCCCAGGCUGGUCUCAAACUCCUGAGCUCAAGUGAUACUCCUGCCUCGGCCUCCCAAAGUGCUGGGAUUACAGAUGAAGAAAAUGAGGCACUGAGAGAUUACAUAACUUCCCUUGAGUCAUAUUUGCUUGUAAGUGGUAAGGCUGGAUGUUGAACCCAGGACAAAGGGAGCCCAGUGGAGGAUCCCUGGAGGAGCAAAUAGAAGAAACCCAAAAGGGACUUGAAAGCGGGUCCCCUCCCUCACCUGGAUUCCCAGUCCGAAGAGGAGGAAGCAUCCGCCCUCCUUCCCUCCUUCUGACCCACCCAGCCACCCACCCAAGGUGCCAUUAAAGUUAAUUGUUUUUACUGCCAGUUUAACAUAGUCUUGUAAAUCUUUUUACGAUGUGGCCGGGGAACACCGAGCUGCAUGCAGGACUCAAUGGAGUUGGAGCACAGGAGCGUGGCCCCAGAGCUAUCUGGAGGGUGUAAAAUGGGAGCGCCACGUCUCUCCAGGGGCACCCUCUUCCCUCCUCCUGGAGCACCAGGCCCAAGACCCUCAUCUGAGUGGCAGUUCUCCCAGGCGAGGCUAGGAUUGUGCCUGGAAUGCUAAGAUCCUCCAGGUCACCCCCACUGUUUCGAGAGGCCAUCCCUCUUGACUCUAAGUUGUGGAAUCCUCCAGAAUCCGAGGCCUCCAAGCCCUGGAGAGAGGUUCUGGAUCCUUCAGAAAGGUUGAGGGGUGAUUCCCAUAUAGAAAGCUUGGCGCUGGGUCUCUCCAUUUGCCCACCAAGGACCGGCAGGCAAAAGCACUGCAAGGUGGACGUUUAGGGGUAUGAGGGGCGCACAUUCCAUGGCGCAGGGACUCUGGAGGUGCAGGUCUUCUACGAAGGUGAUUCCGCCAUUUCCCAGCCAUUACCAGCGGAGAGAGCUGAGUCUUCCUGAACAGCGCCUUUAAGCUGGUUUGUCCCAGGUUGGUGGAGCGGGACUCAGCGGUUUCUGUCCCUUGGGUAGACCUUGGCUUCCAUCUGUCUGGGUACAGGCACGAUUUCCCUCUCCCGGUUCCUGGCAUCCCCAUUGUGAGCCAUCCAUGUCAAAAUAAGGGUCUUAACUCCCACCGUUGUCACUAGCAUUAAACAGACACUCCUAAUGUGCCCAGAAAAAUGCCAGGCGCACGCUAAACAUCUGUAAACCACGGUGACAGCUCUAAGCGUUCAUGAUUAAGCCCAAAUAUUUAUUAGGCACUGGUGUGCAAGCCUUGUGUAAGUGCUGAGGACACACAGAGAAGAACGACGUACUUUCCUCUAAAGAGGGUUUUUUGUUAUUGACAAAGGAACCUAGAGGGCAUCAACGCAACACACAGAGCAGUCCUUCCCAAAACAUACCCCGGGAACCGGUUAGAAAUGCGCAUUCUCAGGCCCAGCUGAGACCAAUUGAAUGAGGUGUCCGGGAGCGGGGCCCAGAAUUCCUGUUUUAACAAAGCCCCCACGUGAUUGUGAGCUCCUUAAGGUUCGAGAACCCUGAUGCAGUGAACGCAGGCGCAGGCUCUGGAGUGAGAAAUUGUGGGUUUUCAUCUCCUUGCAUCUAUGUUGUGGGGCUUUGACCAAGAAAUGGUAACAAACUCAGAAGGGGAGAAGGGGAAAGAGAGUGGAUGGAGUAGGGGCGGUGAGAAGGAAGACAAGGGAAUAACCAGCCCUCUUCCCAACAGGGCUUCCUCGAUCAGAGGCCGAAUUUCCGAGCAGGAUAGACCAGGGGGCUCGAACUAAUAAUUCUGAGGGGUCAGAAAGGCCUCUCAAAACGCGCCGCGAUUUGAAACCUGCAAACGCGGGGUUCAGGUCGGCUCCGUUUCUUCCAAGCAGCCUGCCUUUGGGGCACCCAACCCUUCCCAAGCCUCGGUUUUCCCGAUCUUGUGGGAUCCUUGCGGCGCGAAUGGGGUUGGAAGCACCUUGGAAGCUACAGAGUACCGGGUCGGGACAAUUUCCGGCACUGCCCCAGUUCAGUGGUUUAUAGAAAAUUUCUUUCUCUCUCUCAGGUCCACUAAGACCGAGAGAGAGAGAGAAGUCGACUCUGGCACACCCGGGCGAGGGGCUGCCGGGAUUCGGGAGCUGGCGCGGUUGAUUUUUUCCGAGAAUCCUCCACUUGGGGUGACGUCGGGCAGCGCGCGCGGGCCGUGAGGUUAAUGCCCAGGCUUUUCUCUAAAGCGUCCGGGAAUGAUCCGGCGAAUAAAA